GGGCCUGUAGCCAAGUUGGUUAAGGCACCGGACUCAUAAUCCGGCUAUCCUGGGUUCAAGCCCCAGCGGGCCUACCA
rnacentral:tRNA from 6 species